CUCCUGAUCUUGUGAUCUGCCCACCUUGGCCUCCCAAAGUGCUGGGAUUACAGGCAUGAGCCACCACGCUGGUCUAGUUUUGGAACUAUGGAAUCCAACCUUGCCUUGAGCAAGGGAAGGGUGUUUUUAGAGGACUAUUAGGUAGUUGGCCCAGGCAUCAGAGAGGACAUAAUAUCUGAUCUGAGAUCUGAAUGAGCAGUAGAAGUUGGCCAAGAGGGCAAACAAGGACUCCAAACAGAGGGACCGGCAUGGACAAGGCCGGGUGAGGGCACAUAGCUUAUCUGAUAAGUUGUUUAGGGUUCAUGUGGCAAGAGAUGAUUCAGGGGCUAGGAACUGACGCCUCUGUGGCUAGCUAAGGGAGUCUGGUUUUGUCUUGAAACCAUGGGAGACACUGAAUAACUUAAUUCAGGGAAAAACUCAACUAGAACCAUGGUCUCCGGGAAAGCAACAAUUUCUAGUAUGUGGCAGACAUUGCUCGAUAUUCAUAAACUGCCUUUCUUUUUCCCCCUGGGCACAGGGCAAGACUACAAUUCCCAGGCUCUGUUGCAGUCAGGUGAAGCCAUGUGACUGAGUUUGAGCCCAUCAAGUAUACAGAAAGGGAUAUAUAGUAUUUCUAGGCCCAGCACAUAAUAAUCUCCUGCACAGCCCUCCACAUUCUCUUUUUCCUGUUUUGCUGGAGAAGAUCUGAGGACCUAGAUGGGGCGGCUCCAAGAUGGAAGUAGCCUGGAUCCCUGAGUCACCAUUUGGAGACGAGCCUGCCAUGGACUGUUAUAUAUAUCCACUUCUGUCCUGAAGCAGAUAUUCUUUGUGUACACAGCCAUGGAUGGAGUCUCGUCCUGUCACCCAGGCUGGAG